CCACUUUGCACACGAGAAGCAGUGUGUGACAAGUCCAUUGCCUGCCACGGAGGAGCAAGGGGAAGUCGAGAGGACAGGUAAAACCUGAAACCAUUGUUUUUGAAGACAAAAACACAGUUGACAUCUGCUAAGCUGAAAGUAUGAGGUACACAUGAUACUUGGGCUCCUGAAGCGAGGGACUCCCAUGAGUUCACCACAUUUGUUAUAUUUUAGAAGGGGAGAAAGUUGGA